GUGGGGAAUAUUGGACAAUGGGGGGAACCCUGAUCCAGCCAUGCCGCGUGUGUGAAGAAGGCCUUUUGGUUGUAAAGCACUUUAAGCGAGGAGGAGGCUACCGAGAUUAAUACUCUUGGAUAGUGGACGUUACUCGCAGAAUAAGCACCGGCUAACUCUGUGCCAGCAGCCGCGGUAAUACAGAGGGUGCAAGCGUUAAUCGGAUUUACUGGGCGUAAAGCGCGCGUAGGUGGCCAAUUAUGUCAAAUGUGAAAUCCCCGAGCUUAACUUGGGAAUUGCAGUCGAUACUGGUUGGCUAGAGUAUGGGAGAGGAUGGUAGAAUUCCAGGUGUAGCGGUGAAAUGCGUAGAGAUCUGGAGGAAUACCGAUGGCGAAGGCAGCCAUCUGGCCUAAUACUGACACUGAGGUGCGAAAGCAUGGGGAGCAAACAGGAUUAGAAACCCGGGUAGUCC
rnacentral:rRNA from 1 species